GGCUGUUUUGGAUUCUGUUUUAUCAUUUGAAUUGAAUUUACGAAAUGUCUAAUAUUAGUGAACAAAGCUGAGUUCUAUGGGACUGCAUUGUCAUGUCUCUGAAUCAAUGUGUCUCUGUAUGAAUUAAUCUGUCCAUAUCACUACAGGGUUCAUUCACUAGUAAAUACUAAGUUUUUGUUAAAGGCCUGCCUAUGGAGAGAUUGUAAAGACUACUG